GAUAUCCCGCGUGGAAAGCGUACUGACAGGUUUAGCUGUUUUCUUCAAUGAUGGCAAGAAGAAUGUGUCUAACGGCUACAGUGGGGUCGUAUACUGUAAGUGAAGAUCCAAAAGCAGAGCAGAAGACCCAAAAGUCAGUAGAGGCAGUUAUAUCCUAGUUCAACAGGUCACGGGGAACCUGGACCCUAUCCCAGGGAGCAUCGGGCACAAGGCGGGGUACACCCUGGACAGGGUGCCAGUCCAUCACAGGGCACUAUCACAUACACAUUCACACACCCAUUCAUACACUACGGACACUUUAGACACGCCAAUCAGCCUACCAUGCAUGUCUUUGGACUGGGGGAGGAAACCGGAGUACCCGGAGGAAACUCCGCACACACAGGAGUGUGAAAACUGAAAGCUUCACACACAAUUGAACCCCCAACCCUGGAGGUGUGAGGCGAAGUGCUAACCACUAAGCCACCGUGCGCCCCCAUAUUGAAUUCAUACAAUGCCAAACUGAUAUUUAGUGUAUCAGUAUAUACAGUAUAUCCUUUGACCACUUUUGUAAAAAUGUGUCGAUAUAUAACAGUGCACAGAAUAAACAUUUAAAUACCUUUUUAAAAUUUAUUUUUAAAGUAAUUUUACAGUGUGCUGGGUUUUUACAAUCCUCCAAGGCAAAUCAAUGAAUAUUAUCCAUGCAUGUUUCACAAAAUGAGUUUUUAUCACAAAAAUAACAGACAACCCAAAAGCAAAUCUGAUCCUGAAUAAACCUUUAUGUAACCAAAAUGAGGAAAUGGAGAAAACAACAAUUUGAGAUCUGUCUAGGAGGAACCAUUAACAGAUGGGCUAAAAACAGGAUGCCCUGUAGUGCUUUGGCGAGGAUCUUGUCCAGCCCUAACAUGGUACAGAGCAUUGUGGUACCAACCAAUCGCAGAGAUUCAGUAUUGUGUCAGGUUAUGAAAGUAAAGCCACUGGUUUAAUUAUGGCAGGUGUUUCUGAGCAGUCUUAGUCAAAUCCAUGUUUUUUUUUCUAUACCACUCUGGAAACAGUGAUGCAGUUACCAGGAGAUAACUUAUUUAAUCACCAUGAGAGAUAUGCCUUUUUCUUUUGCGUGCAGUAGCUUUUUACAAAAUGUACCACAAAUGAGGCAUCAGAAAGCUAAUAAAGUGUGCACUACCUUUAUAUGUUGAACUUUAUUACUUCUGGAGCAAUAACUGUUAUUGUGUUUUCUGUGCUGAGAAAUAAAAUCUUGCAUGGCUAACAGUGUUCUAGAACAUUCCUGAACACUAAAACAAAAAGCAAAACGGGGAGCCCAAGUUUUUUUUUUUUUUUUUUUUUUACAGUAAAUAUCUUUUUGUAAAAAUAAAAUACAGACUUUUUCCAUUUAAAUCAAAAACAAUUUAUUUGCAAAUUCAGAAAUAACCUAUAAAAAAAACCCUAAAUAUAAUAUUAUGGGCUUGCUUCAUCUUUUGCAAGCUUUAUUUAUUUUUUUGGUAUUUCAAACAAAAGCAUAAAAUAAAAUCCACUCACUCCUGAAAUAAUGUAGUACAGUAUGUUUAGACACUGACCAGUCCUGCAGAAUGCUGGUCACAUCGUCUCACUAACAAUAAACCCUCCAACAUCAAUAAAAUUCCUUCAACAAAGUUAAAGGUAUGUACGGCUGCUCCCUCACUGUAUAAUCACUGGACAAGUGGCAAGUUUCCUGGAGGUUAAGUCACAACUAGGCAAAUCAAACUGAAAGCUAAUCUUUUAUUAAAUGAAACUGCCUAAGUGUAGCACUUUUCUGUUUCACUUUACCUUUAGUUUAAGUGG